rnacentral:siRNA from 1 species
CGUGGCUCGUCCUUUUUGGA